UAAGGAAUAUUGGACAAUGGAGGCAACUCUGAUCCAGCCAUGCCGCGUGAAGGAUUAAGGCCCUAUGGGUUGUAAACUUCUUUUAGACGGGACAAAACCCCUUUACGUGUAAAGGGUUGAUGGUACUGUCAGAAUAAGCAUCGGCUAACUUCGUGCCAGCAGCCGCGGUAAUACGAAGGAUGCAAGCGUUAUCCGGAAUUAUUGGGUUUAAAGGGUGCGUAGGCGGACUAAUAAGUCAGUGGUGAAAGCCUGCAGCUUAACUGCAGAAUUGCCGUUGAUACUGUUAGUCUUGAGUACAGUUGAGGUAGGCGGAAUGUGUCAUGUAGCGGUGAAAUGCUUAGAUAUGACACAGAACACCGAUUGCGAAGGCAGCUUGCUAAGCUGUAACUGACGCUGAGGCAC
rnacentral:rRNA from 1 species